rnacentral:lncRNA from 1 species
GGGAGACCGGCAUACAGGUGAAGCCCAGCCAUUUUCAACAUGUUGAGAAAUGAGAAGGAUAAAGGAAAAGACCUAGAAAAGAAAGGCAUGUACAGGGUCCCUGUCACGUGUGGGGACAUCCAGCGCCGGUCGUUUUGCACAGGCGUCACCGCCGGAUUGAGCCAAAGGAUAAAGGAGCAUAAUGAUGAUAUUAGGAAGGGGGGGCUUCAUAUGGCCCUGUCAGCGGGGGCUUGCCGAGGGAGCAUUGGCAUAGUGUGGGACCGGGCUGGAAUAGUUGAGCCGCUAACCACACCAGUGCAGCCGCUCUUAGCGGAAUCAUUG